rnacentral:rRNA from 1 species
AGAGGCGAUGAAGGACGUGCUAAUCUGCGAUAAGCGUCGGUGAGGUGAUAUGAACCGUUAUAACCGGCGAUUUCCGAAUGGGGAAACCCAGUGUGUUUCGACACACUAUCAUUAACUGAAUCCAUAGGUUAAUGAGGCGAACCGGGGGAACUGAAACAUCUAAGUACCCCGAGGAAAAGAAAUCAACCGAGAUUCCCCCAGUAGCGGCGAGCGAACGGGGAGGAGCCCAGAGCCUGAAUCAGUGUGUGUGUUAGUGGAAGCGUCUGGAAAGGCGCGCGAUACAGGGUGACAGCCCCGUACACAAAAAUGCACAUAUUGUGAGCUCGAUGAGUAGGGCGGGACACGUGGUAUCCUGUCUGAAUAUGGGGGGACCAUCCUCCAAGGCUAAAUACUCCUGACUGACCGAUAGUGAACCAGUACCGUGAGGGAAAGGCGAAAAGAACCCCGGCGAGGGGAGUGAAAAAGAACCUGAAACCGUGUACGUACAAGCAGUGGGAGCCUCUUAAUGGGGUGACUGCGUACCUUUUGUAUAAUGGGUCAGCGACUUAUAUUCUGUAGCAAGGUUAACCGAAUAGGGGAGCCGAAGGGAAACCGAGUCUUAACUGGGCGUUAAGUUGCAGGGUAUAGACCCGAAACCCGGUGAUCUAGCCAUGGGCAGGUUGAAGGUUGGGUAACACUAACUGGAGGACCGAACCGACUAAUGUUGAAAAAUUAGCGGAUGACUUGUGGCUGGGGGUGAAAGGCCAAUCAAACCGGGAGAUAGCUGGUUCUCCCCGAAAACUAUUUAGGUAGCGCCUCGUGAAUUCAUCUCCGGGGGUAGAGCACUGUUUCGGCAAGGGGGUCAUCCCGACUUACCAACCCGAUGCAAACUGCGAAUACCGGAGAAUGUUAUCACGGGAGACACACGGCGGGUGCUAACGUCCGUCGUGAAGAGGGAAACAACCCAGACCGCCAGCUAAGGUCCCAAAGUCAUGGUUAAGUGGGAAACGAUGUGGGAAGGCCCAGACAGCCAGGAUGUUGGCUUAGAAGCAGCCAUCAUUUAAAGAAAGCGUAAUAGCUCACUGGUCGAGUCGGCCUGCGCGGAAGAUGUAACGGGGCUAAACCAUGCACCGAAGCUGCGGCAGCGACGCUUAUGCGUUGUUGGGUAGGGGAGCGUUCUGUAAGCCUGUGAAGGUGGCCUGUGAGGGUUGCUGGAGGUAUCAGAAGUGCGAAUGCUGACAUAAGUAACGAUAAAGCGGGUGAAAAGCCCGCUCGCCGGAAGACCAAGGGUUCCUGUCCAACGUUAAUCGGGGCAGGGUGAGUCGACCCCUAAGGCGAGGCCGAAAGGCGUAGUCGAUGGGAAACAGGUUAAUAUUCCUGUACUUGGUGUUACUGCGAAGGGGGGGACGGAGAAGGCUAUGUUGGCCGGGCGACGGUUGUCCCGGUUUAAGCGUGUAGGCUGGUUUUCCAGGCAAAUCCGGAAAACCAAGGCUGAGGCGUGAUGACGAAGCACUACGGUGCUGAAGCAACAAAUGCCCUGCUUCCAGGAAAAGCCUCUAAGCAUCAGGUAACAUCAAAUCGUACCCCAAACCGACACAGGUGGUCAGGUAGAGAAUACCAAGGCGCUUGAGAGAACUCGGGUGAAGGAACUAGGCAAAAUGGUGCCGUAACUUCGGGAGAAGGCACGCUGAUAUGUAGGUGAAGCGACUUGCUCGUGGAGCUGAAAUCAGUCGAAGAUACCAGCUGGCUGCAACUGUUUAUUAAAAACACAGCACUGUGCAAACACGAAAGUGGACGUAUACGGUGUGACGCCUGCCCGGUGCCGGAAGGUUAAUUGAUGGGGUUAGCGGCAACGCGAAGCUCUUGAUCGAAGCCCCGGUAAACGGCGGCCGUAACUAUAACGGUCCUAAGGUAGCGAAAUUCCUUGUCGGGUAAGUUCCGACCUGCACGAAUGGCGUAAUGAUGGCCAGGCUGUCUCCACCCGAGACUCAGUGAAAUUGAACUCGCUGUGAAGAUGCAGUGUACCCGCGGCAAGACGGAAAGACCCCGUGAACCUUUACUAUAGCUUGACACUGAACAUUGAGCCUUGAUGUGUAGGAUAGGUGGGAGGCUUUGAAGUGUGGACGCCAGUCUGCAUGGAGCCGACCUUGAAAUACCACCCUUUAAUGUUUGAUGUUCUAACGUUGGCCCGUAAUCCGGGUUGCGGACAGUGUCUGGUGGGUAGUUUGACUGGGGCGGUCUCCUCCUAAAGAGUAACGGAGGAGCACGAAGGUUGGCUAAUCCUGGUCGGACAUCAGGAGGUUAGUGCAAUGGCAUAAGCCAGCUUGACUGCGAGCGUGACGGCGCGAGCAGGUGCGAAAGCAGGUCAUAGUGAUCCGGUGGUUCUGAAUGGAAGGGCCAUCGCUCAACGGAUAAAAGGUACUCCGGGGAUAACAGGCUGAUACCGCCCAAGAGUUCAUAUCGACGGCGGUGUUUGGCACCUCGAUGUCGGCUCAUCACAUCCUGGGGCUGAAGUAGGUCCCAAGGGUAUGGCUGUUCGCCAUUUAAAGUGGUACGCGAGCUGGGUUUAGAACGUCGUGAGACAGUUCGGUCCCUAUCUGCCGUGGGCGCUGGAGAACUGAGGGGGGCUGCUCCUAGUACGAGAGGACCGGAGUGGACGCAUCACUGGUGUUCGGGUUGUCAUGCCAAUGGCACUGCCCGGUAGCUAAAUGCGGAAGAGAUAAGUGCUGAAAGCAUCUAAGCACGAAACUUGCCCCGAGAUGAGUUCUCCCUGAGACUUAGAGUCUCCUGAAGGAACGUUGAAGACGACGACGUUGAUAGGCCGGGUGUGUAAGCGCAGCGAUGCGUUGAGCUAACCGGUACUAAUGAACCGUGAGGCUUAACCUU